UGGGGAAUUUUGGACAAUGGGCGAAAGCCUGAUCCAGCAAUGCCGCGUGUGUGAAGAAGGCCUUCGGGUUGUAAAGCACUUUUGUCCGGAAAGAAAUCCUUGGCUCUAAUACAGUCGGGGGAUGACGGUACCGGAGGAAUAAGCACCGGCUAACUACGUGCCAGCAGCCGCGGUAAUACGUAGGGUGCAAGCGUUAAUCGGAAUUACUGGGCGUAAAGCGUGCGCAGGCGGUUUGCUAAGACCGAUGUGAAAUCCCCGGGCUCAACCUGGGAACUGCAUUGGUGACUGGCAGGCUAGAGUAUGGCAGAGGGGGGUAGAAUUCCACGUGUAGCAGUGAAAUGCGUAGAGAUGUGGAGGAAUACCGAUGGCGAAGGCAGCCCCCUGGGCCAAUACUGACGCUCAUGCACGAAAGCGUGGGGAGCAAACAGGAUUAGAUACCCUGGUAGUCCACGCCCUAAAACGAUGUCAACUAGUUGUUGGGGGAUUCAUUUCCUUAGUAACGUAGCUAACGCGUGAAGUUGACCGCCUGGGGAGUACGGUCGCAAGAUUAAAACUCAAAUGAAUUGACGGGGUCAUA
rnacentral:rRNA from 1 species